ACUAUAGAACCUAUAAAUGGUUUAUGUAAUUGAUAUCGUCCAGUUAUAAGCAUUUCUUUGUCUCCCAAAAUACAUGCUCCACUGAAAUACCACUUAAAAAAGAUUUUUAAUUAGAUUACUACUUACGGAAAACAUCUGUUCUUCCAAUGCGUGGAAAAAUGGUGUCCAGUCUUUGAUGUCUGUUUAAGAAAUAAUUUUGUCUGCCUUUUGAAACGCUUGCAAUUGAAAUGAUUGAAAUCAGCAGAUAGUCAUUUCGGGGAGGGUCACUCUAACAUUAAAAGAAUGACUAGAUUGGUCAUUCUGAUAUUGCUGAUGCUGAAACAAGGCUCUCAGCAAUAUCUAGGGCACCAAAUAUCAAACAGAUGCUGUUUGACCCUUUACUUUAUACCUAAGUGCUAGUACUAUUAUACCAACAGGCAAAAAGUUAUAAUAAAGCAUUGGUAGAAAGUGUUUAUCAACCGUUUUGUUAAAUUAAAAUAAUCUUGAGCAACUGCCUAUUUAAAUGUCAUCUCUUUUUUAAAAAUAAUAAAGUACUAAUAAAU
rnacentral:misc_RNA from 1 species